UGAAUGAUGGGCUGGGGACAUUUA
rnacentral:piRNA from 1 species